GCCGGGGUAGCUCAGUUGGUCUAGAGCAGAAGAUUGAAAAUCUUUGUGUCACCAGUUCAAAUCUGGUUCCUGGCA
rnacentral:tRNA from 1 species